GACGAACGCUGGCGGCGUGCCUAAUACAUGCAAGUAGAACGCUGAAGGAAGGAGCUUGCUCUUUCCGGAUGAGUUGCGAACGGGUGAGUAACGCGUAGGUAACCUGCCUGGUAGCGGGGGAUAACUAUUGGAAACGAUAGCUAAUACCGCAUAACAGUAGAUAUCGCAUGAUAGCUGCUUGAAAGGUGCAAUUGCACCACUACCAGAUGGACCUGCGUUGUAUUAGCUAGUUGGUGAGGUAACGGCUCACCAAGGCAACGAUACAUAGCCGACCUGAGAGGGUGAUCGGCCACACUGGGACUGAGACACGGCCCAGACUCCUACGGGAGGCAGCAGUAGGGAAUCUUCGGCAAUGGACGGAAGUCUGACCGAGCAACGCCGCGUGAGUGAAGAAGGUUUUCGGAUCGUAAAGCUCUGUUGUAAGAGAAGAACGAGUGUGAGAGUGGAAAGUUCACACUGUGACGGUAUCUUACCAGAAAGGGACGGCUAACUACGUGCCAGCAGCCGCGGUAAUACGUAGGUCCCGAGCGUUGUCCGGAUUUAUUGGGCGUAAAGCGAGCGCAGGCGGUUAGAUAAGUCUGAAGUUAAAGGCUGUGGCUUAACCAUAGUACGCUUUGGAAACUGUUUAACUUUGAGUGCAAGAGGGGAGAGUGGAAUUCCAUGUGUAGCGGUGAAAUGCGUAGAUAUAUGGAGGAACACCGGUGGCGAAAGCGGCUCUCUGGCUUGUAACUGACGCUGAGGCUCUAAAGCGUGGUGAGCUAACAGG
rnacentral:rRNA from 1 species